CCCAUGUUUCAUCCAGGCAGAGCACUCCUAUCCCUCCCUGUCCAAGGCAGUGGCAGAGCACCCUCCUAUUGCUGGCCUGGAGGCAUGCAGAUCCUCCUGCCUUGGGGUGUCAGCCAUAUGCUGGAGUGGGCCCAUUUGGUGUGUGGGUAUUGCAGCAGGGCAGGAUUUCUCCAUAUGAACCUAAACUGCAGUAGGAAUGGAGCUGGAAUUUCUCCCGGAGUUUUCUCAGCCUUCUGAUGAGCUCUAAUUGCUCCCAAAAGGCAUUGGUGCUUUGGAGACACAGUCGCGGGCAGCUACUCGUGCUUUUCUUUCAGGCCCAACACAGACCACCACCGUGCAGAGCUGCAUCAUCCCCUGGGGGAUAAAGGCCUUUUCGUGGUUUAGCAAAGAUGAAGCCUUGUGUAAAACUGGCCAGUGGCAGCCUCUCUCUCCCAUUCCCUCUGCUUGGAGCACAUAUUCAGCACCAUAUCAUGAGGUUCUUCAACAUUGAAACUUCAUUUUUGACUCUAACCCUGCAGUGUCUCUCCUGUCUGGCAGCCUGAUGGAGAUUUAAGGAAAUGUGGUGCAUACCCUUGCAGUAAUAAAAGCAUUGCAAGAAUGGGAAGAUUCCAGGAAUAGCAAAUGUGGUAUUACUCAAUAAACAUUAAGUAACAAACAACCCCUCAAGCCAUGAAAGAAAGAAAACGCUAAUUGACCUUUUUGGUACAAAAUGAUUAAGAAAAGUGUGUUUGAUUUGAAGACGUUUGAUGUUCCUCUCCACUGUGAAUGCUGGAUUUAUAUACCGGAAUGUCUAAGGCUCAAACUGGAAUGAGGGGAAGCAAGAGAGGGGUUUUCCUCUGUGCAUACUAUAAAGGA